AUUGAACGCUGGCGGCAUGCCUUACACAUGCAAGUCGAACGGCAGCACGGGGGCAACCCUGGUGGCGAGUGGCGAACGGGUGAGUAAUGCAUCGGAACGUGCCCAGUAGUGGGGGAUAACUAGUCGAAAGAUUAGCUAAUACCGCAUACGACCUAUGGGUGAAAGCGGGGGAUUCGCAAGAACCUCGCGCUAUCGGAGCGGCCGAUGUCUGAUUAGCUAGNGGGCGGGGUAAGGCCCACCAAGGCUUCGAUCAGUAGCUGGUCUGAGAGGACGACCAGCCACACUGGGACUGAGACACGGCCCAG
rnacentral:rRNA from 1 species